UCAUCAUCAUCAUCAAAUACAUACCUGGGGUGUUGCCUUAAUUUUUCAUGCAUGUUUGAGAAAUCCUUUGAUUUCCUGUGGCAACCAUUCAGCUGUGCAAAAUAGCUGGGUGGGCUUAGUUCCGCCUUCAAGGUAUAGCUCCUCCUCCAGCUGCGGAGCUUCCAUCUCACAGAGGAGCCUUCACCCACAACUGUGUGCUAGGGUGACCUAUGACUCCCCACAAGUGGUGGACAAUGUCUCCCACCCCAUGCAUGAAGCUGUUACUGAACUCCAGGAUGCUGCAUCCUCAGUGCACUAAGCAGCCUUAUCAGAUAUCCUUCCUCCCAGCAACUGUUACAGCAGCUGUCACGGCUCCCAACAAGCUCAAUAAGUGUUUACAUACAAGCUGGUAUUUGCACUGUUCGAUUUUUUUACAUAUUUUUUUUUAUUUGCAAGUUUUUUUCAAACUUGCAAAUUUUCAACAUUUGGAGCACAGAAAUUCUCUUUUCGAGAAAAUUUCAGUGAUUAAUCUCAAAAUUCCUGAACCUUGUUUAGCUUCUUUAUUUCUAUACCUACAAUACGCCGUGGUAAUUUUCCACCCUCUUCCGGAUGUACUUAAAUUUCUGUGACAUUCAGUCCAAGUACCUGCUUAGCUUUGUGUGUGUGUGUGUGUGUGUGUGUGUGUGUGUGUAUGUGUGUUUUCUUUGCUGCCGUUUGAGAGGAAGAAAACAAAAACCUACCAAACAGGUUUCUACCUUUCAACGUGCGAAACAGCCAACUGUUGGGGAAACAGGUGAAAAAGGGGAAACGGCAACGAGAAACUCACUUUUUAGCUGGAGGACAAAACUACAGCGAUUUCUUCCUAACAAGAAGGGGCGGCGAGCUGGCUACUGAUCAACACCUGGAGUUUUCCACUGUCCUCUAUCAAAGGCAUCCAUCUUCAUUAACAGGCAGCAGAUGCGCAGGGUUGUGGAAGGCUCUGGGAACGAAACAGAGCAACAGCAAGAAUCCGAUUUCAGAGAUUAAAACCAGAAACGUGCCGGAGACGAGCAGAUAGUGUUAAAGGUGGAAGAUGUU